rnacentral:tRNA from 1 species
CGAAGAAUAGUUUAGUUAAAAUACUAGCUUUGGGGGCUAGGGAUAGAAGUUCAAAUCUUUUUUCUUUGA